rnacentral:rRNA from 1 species
ACGGAAUAGAUACCCUGGUAGUCCACGCCCUAAACGAUGUCUACUAGUUGUCGGGUCUUAAUUGACUUGGUAAACGCAGCUAAACGCGUGAAGUAGACCGCCUGGGGAGUACGGUCGCAAGAUUAAAACUCAAAGGAAUUGACGGGGACCCGCACAAGCGGUGGAUGAUGUGGAUUAAUUCGAUGCAACGCGAAAAACCUUACCUACCCUUGACAUGGAAGGAAUCCCUGAGAGAUUGGGGAGUGCUCGAAAGAGAACCUUUACACAGGUGCUGCAUGGCUGUCGUCAGCUCGUGUCGUGAGAUGUUGGGUUAAGUCCCGCAACGAGCGCAACCCUUGUCAUUAGUUGCUACGAAAGGGCACUCUAAUGAGACUGCCGGUGACAAACCGGAGGGAGGUGGGGAUGACGUCAAGUCCUCAUGGCCCUUAUGGGUAGGGCUUCACACGUCAUACAAUGGUACAUACAGAGGGCCGCCAACCCGGCGAGGGGGAGCUAAUCCCAGAAAGUGUAUCGUAGUCCGGAUUGUAGUCUGCAACUCG